rnacentral:tRNA from 19 species
CGCGGGGUAGAGCAGCCCGGUAGCUCGUCAGGCUCAUAACCUGAAGGUCGCAGGUUCAAAUCCUGCCCCCGCAACCA